UGCAUAGUAAAUGGAAUAGAACAGCUCUGAACUAUAGCUUACUUUUCCUGGUUUGGUCUGGCAGUCUUUCAAUACAAAUUGCCUAUGAACAUGCACUGGAACAGAAUCUUUCCAUUGUACAGUAUUCAGAGAUCACCAAUCUGAAAAGACAUCAGGUGAAUGCCCUAAAUCCUGUCUUCUAUCUCAUCUCCCCCCAGGUAACUUUCUGGAUGAGAGGAGGAACACCAGCAUACAGCCAUUUCACAGAUGAGGUUUUCUCCCCUCUUUCAGUACAUUUCUGAUGUCUGUGUUCCUCUUUAUCAUCACAAGGACACUUCCCUGGUUCUCUGGGUAUCUUUGGAUACUAUCCUUUUGGAAGUACUCAUUUUAGCUGGUGUCUGCCAGCAUCAGUCUUAUAUUCCUCCAGGUCCUGUGGGCUGAAGAAUUAACUCAGGUCAGGCAACCUGCCUUCGUAUCAUUUCUUGUGCUGUGAUAAUUCAACUUGAGAAGAGGAACCUGAAGGAGGAGGAAGAGAUGGUUUGGCUCAUCGAUCCAAGACACAGCAUAUCACUGUGGGGAAGUCAAGGUAUAGGACCUUGAAGUUGCUAGUCACAUCACAGCAGACACACAGCCUACUCUGGGAAAUACAGUAGAGCCAUUUUACCUGACAUAAACUCAGGAGUGAUGGCACAACUAGUUUUUGAAAUUAUCCUUUGUAUUAAGCAGUGAUUGUUAUCUGAGAUUCAUGAAGCUGCUUUUUUGUGUUGGAGCUUCUGACUGUUUGCAUGAAUUCAGUCACAAGAUAUUCAGGGCAAACCUGGAAGUCUUGCAAUGGCUGAGAAUGGCUUGGGUAAUGUGUUCCUUCUGACAUCUCCUAGAUCAGAUCAAAGCCUAUGAUAUGUGGAAUUGACUUUUUAAAAAUACAUUUUGUGUAACAAUUAAUAAAAUGUUUUUUCAAGGCUUCUCAGGUUUCAGUCCACUAUGAUUUUCCCUUUGUUCUCCCAAGGCUUCAUGGCAUCCUCAAGUCACUUUCUUUCUUUUUUGGGGUCAUCUUAUAUGAAACAGUUACUGACAUUUGGUACCCAAACUGUAAUGCUCAAGGAAAUGAAGGAUCUAGAUGCUCCAGGACUGCAGGUUAAGUACACUCACAGGUAACUGAGACUCCAAAAUUGGGAAGGGACAUGAGGAAUUUCCCAUUUCAGAAGCAGCAGUAUGUGCAGUUGUUAAAACCCUUGACAAAAGACAUGGAGUGAAAUAAAAGAAAAACAGCUUAAUGACCUUUUGGACCUAAUUAAGUGGCUUUGUAUUGGUUUCAGGCAACUCCUCAUGUUCAAUUAAAAUGACAUUGUCAAAGUAUUGAGAGCUUUUUGGAAGGCUCAUUAAAGAAGCUAUACUAUGAGAGAUGUGGUCUUUAUGUAAAUCAAUUCCCAAUGCUUUGGAGCUGCUGCAGAGUGAAGACUGAGAAAAGGAUUCAUCAGAUGUGGAAAUGUGAAUUAAGAAGAAGGAUAUUCUGAUGAGGACUUGUCAAAAGAGAAUGUUGUCUCAGAGGAAAACAAAAACAUUGUUUUCAAGUAAGAUGAAGGAUUUCCAGGACUCCAGCUGUUGUUCCACUGUGGAUCUCUACAUGUGCUCCCACCAAUUGCUGGAUGAAGACUCUCUGGUGAUGCUUAUGAUAGUCUCCUGUUUAUGAGUAGAGGUGGGUGAUGGAGGCUUCCACCUUUAAUUACAGAACUUGAGAGGCAGAAGCAUGUAGAUUCAAUCUCUAAGAUUGAAGACAACCUGGUCUACAGAGAAAUCCAAGAAUGGGCCAAUUCUCUUCUUAUGUGGGACCUUCACUUCUAGUGCAGACAACUCUGUCUCCAUAGAGUCUGGAGCAAAGCAGUCUGAGGUUAUCUGUCAACAUCAGUGGAUUCUCCAGAGUUCUCAGUCCAUAGUGUAUAGACAAUGAAAUUCUUGAAGUGACAUGUAUAUGUGCUCAAAUCUGAGCCCAAACUUCCACUUGUGAGGACACCAGGAGUUUUGAAUUAAAUGCAAUCUUCUAUACACUUUAACUUACUUCUCUGUCUAUAUAUUCCUGAUGUCUUUAUGUUCUAUCACCUGAUCCUUACAAUCUAGGGUGGAGGAGGGUUGGAGAGUAAGGCUGAAGCAUACAAAUUAUUGGAAGAAGAAAAUUAAACCCAUAACCAAUAAUUCUCCUUUGCUGAGUCUAUAUCCAUUUUCUUUACUUAUCCCCAAAGGCCUGACAUCUGAUUCAUUCCUUCUUCAAUGCCAAGUCCCAUCUCACCAGUUAUCUGCUAAUAGGAAAAGGUGAUAUUCCAGGUGUGGCUCUUUUUGGUACAGUGGCUCCUCAUCUCUACAGCUAUGGAACCACACCCACAAUCUGCUCCCAGCAUAGAGAGGUAGCACAGACAUAGAGAAGAUGGAUAUUCCCAUUCCUGGAGAGGCAUUCAGAACAAACUGAGUAGCCCUGAGCCUGAAGCAAUCCAAAUGUAGGAUGAUAAAUACCAUUUGCUUAGUCUUUAUGGGGUCUAUACUCAGCCUGGUGUGGGACAGCAAUCUUGGCAUGUUCAACAUCUUUUCCAGCCAUGAAUGGAAGUGUUUUCUGUGAUUAUCAUUGCAAAUAUAUCUUUGGUCCCAUGUGCUAUGUGUUUUCUUUAGAUUUCUAUGAUACAGAGAGCCUUACUAAGCCUCAUUGCUACACAUCUACCCUUUUGUUUCCAUUGAGGUUAUUGGACUCAACCAUCUGCAAUCCCAACAUCCUCUCCCAGAACAAAUCAAUUUUCAUAGCUACUGAAGCCCACAUCAUCACCAUGGAAUGAAUCUUCUGUAAGGUCUGUGAGAAACUAUCAUGUAUGAGCAAUGACUUCUGAACCAUUCCCAACUCUUUCCUAGAGUCUCACUGGAACAAUAUGCCCUCCACACGUCCUGACAUCAUUUAAAGCUCAAAAACUUCUUCACCUUUUCUCAAGAUAU